GAUGAACGCUGGCGGCGUGCCUUAUACAUGCAAGUCGAGUGGGUUUAGACCCGCGGCAACCGGGUGAGUAACACGUAGGUACUUUUCUUGUCACAGGAAUAACCCCCCGAAAGGUGGGCUAAUACCUGAUGUGAUCGCAAGAUUAAAGGGUAACCGCAAGGAUUACCGGACAAGAAGAGGGCUGCAGCCUAUCAGCUAGUUGGCGGGGUAAAUGCCCACCAAGGCUAUGACGGGUCACAGGCCUUAUGAGGUUGGUCAGUCACUCGGGCGCUGAGACACAGUCCCGAAUCCUGCGGGAGGGGGCAAUAGGGGAUUUUGCACAGUGGGCGGAAGGCUGAAGGAGCUAGGCCGGGUGAGGGAUGAAGGCCUUCGGGUCGUAAACCGCUUUUAUAAGGGACGAACUUUGACGGUACCUUAGGAAAAGGAGGUUGCAACCUCGGU
rnacentral:rRNA from 1 species